rnacentral:rRNA from 1 species
CCCUUAGAUGUUCUGGGCUGCACGCGCGCUACACUGAAGCGUUCAACGAGUAUUCACCUUGCCCGGGAGGGUUGGGUAAUCUUUUUAAAACGCUUCGUGAUGGGGAUAGAUUAUUGCAAUUAUUAAUCUUCAACGAGGAAUUCCUAGUAAGCGCGAGUCAUCAGCUCGUGCUGAUUACGUCCCUGCCCUUUGUACACACCGCCCGUCGCUCCUACCGAUUGAGUGGUCCGGUGAAUAAUUCGGACUGCAGCAGUGCUUGGUCCUCCGGGCUUUGCAGCGGAAAGUUUAGUGAACCUUAUCACUUAGAGGAAGGAGAAGUCGUAACA